rnacentral:rRNA from 1 species
CCUACGGGUGGCAGCAGUGAGGAAUAUUGGUCAAUGGCCGAGAGGCUGAACCAGCCAAGUCGCGUGAGGGAAGACGGCCCUACGGGUUGUAAACCUCUUUUGUCGGGGAGCAAAGCGAGUCACGUGUGACUCAUUGAGAGUACCCGAAGAAAAAGCAUCGGCUAAAUCCGUGCCAGCAGACGCGGUAAUACGGAGGAUGCGAGCGUUAUCCGGAUUUAUUGGGUUUAAAGGGUGCGCAGGCGGAGGUGCAAGUCAGCGGUAAAAUUGCGGGGCUCAACCCCGUACUGCCGUUGAAACUGCAUGCCUUGAGUGCGCGAGAAGUAUGCGGAAUGCGUGGUGUAGCGGUGAAAUGCAUAGAUAUCACGCAGAACUCCGAUUGCGAAGGCAGCAUACCGGCGCGCAACUGACGCUGAGGCACGAAAGCGUGGGGAUCGAACAGGAUUAGAUACCCCUGUAGUC